GCACCCGUAGCUCAGCUGGAUAGAGUACCUGACUACGAAUCAGGUGGUCGGUGGUUCGAAUCCAUCCGGGUGCGCCA
rnacentral:tRNA from 1 species